rnacentral:rRNA from 1 species
GUAGGGAAUAUUGCGCAAUGGACGAAAGUCUGACGCAGCGACGCCGCGUGAGUGAUGAAGGCCUUAGGGUCGUAAAGCUCUGUUGAAUGGGAAGAAAAAAAUGACGGUACCAUUCGAGGAAGGACCGGCUAACUUCGUGCCAGCAGCCGCGGUAAUACGAGGGGUCCUAGCGUUGUUCGGAAUCAUCGGGCGUAAAGGGUGUGUAGGUGGCCAUGUAAGUCAGGUGUGAAAGCCCCGGGCUCAACCCGGGAAGUGCACUUGAUACUGCGUGGCUUGAGUACCGAAGAGGGUAGUGGAAUUCCAGGUGUAGUGGUGAAAUACGUAGAUAUCUGGAGGAACACCGGUGGCGAAGGCGGCUACCUGGUCGAGUACUGACACUGAGACACGAAAGCAUGGGGAUCAAACAGGAUUAGAAACCCCUGUAGUCC